GAUGAACGCUGGCGGCGUGCCUAAUACAUGCAAGUCGAGCGAACGGACGAGGAGCUUGCUCCUCUGACGUUAGCGGCGGACGGGUGAGUAACACGUGGAUAACCUACCUAUAAGACUGGGAUAACUUCGGGAAACCGGAGCUAAUACCGGAUAACAUGUUGAACCGCAUGGUUCAACAGUGAAAGACGGUCUUGCUGUCACUUAUAGAUGGAUCCGCGCCGCAUUAGCUAGUUGGUAAGGUAACGGCUUACCAAGGCAACGAUGCGUAGCCGACCUGAGAGGGUGAUCGGCCACACUGGAACUGAGACAUGGUCCAGACUCCUACGGGAGGCAGCAGUAGGGAAUCUUCCGCAAUGGGCGAAAGCCUGACGGAGCAACGCCGCGUGAGUGAAGAAGGUCUUCGGAUCGUAAAACUCUGUUAUUAGGGAAGAACAAAUGUGUAAGUAACUAUGCACGUCUUGACGGUACCUAAUCAGAAAGCCACGGCUAACUACGUG
rnacentral:rRNA from 1 species